CCAAGAAGCGGAUAUUCGCUCCAGCCUCGUGCAGGAGAGGAAAGUCCGGACACCAUCGGGUAAGACUCCUUCUGAAAAGGAGGGAGAGCUGGUACAAACCAGUUCGACGGCUAGUGCCACAGAGAUUAGACCGCCUUGCUUCGGCAGGGUAAGGGUGAAAAGGUGGAGUAAGAGCCCACCGCUCCUGAGGUAACAAGGGAGGCAUGGUAAACCCAGUCUGGUGCAAGGCAAAAUAGGGGACCGGGUGACCCGCCCAAUGGUUCCGGGUAUGCCGCAUCCUCCUUUGGAGGGGCUGGCUUUAGCUGGCAGAUGAAUGAAUAUCGCCAGGGUAACCUGGUAACAGAAUCCGGCUUAUGCUCCUUGGAAAU
rnacentral:RNase_P_RNA from 1 species